AGCUAACGCUGGCGGCGCGCCUAAUACAUGCAAGUCGAACGGGUAGUAAUACCAGUGGCGCACGGGAGCGUAACACGUGGAUAAUCUUCCCUCGAGAGAAGAAUAACUGAUCGAAAGAUUAGCUAAUACUUCGUAAGACCACAGAGACGAACGUCUCAGAGGUAAAAGUAGUAAUACGCUUGAGGAUGAGUCUGCGUCCCAUUAGCUAGUUGGUGAGGUAAUGGCUCACCAAGGCAACGAUGGGUAGCUGGUCUGAGAGGAUGAUCAGCCUCACUGGAACUGACACACGGUCCAGACUCCUACGGGAGGCAGCAGUAGGGAAUAUUGCACAAUGGGCGAAAGCCUGAUGCAGCGACGCCGCGUGAGUGAUGAAGGACUUCGGUUCGUAAAGCUCUGUUCUCAGGGAAUAAAAAAAUGAAUGUACUUGAGGAGAAAGCACCGGCUAACUUCGUGCCAGCAGCCGCCGUAA
rnacentral:rRNA from 1 species